UGAGGAAUAUUGGUCAAUGGACGAGAGUCUGAACCAGCCAAGUAGCGUGAAGGAUGACUGCCCUAUGGGUUGUAAACUUCUUUUAUAUGGGAAUAAAGUGAGCCACGUGUGGCUUUUUGUAUGUACCAUACGAAUAAGGAUCGGCUAACUCCGUGCCAGCAGCCGCGGUAAUACGGAGGAUCCGAGCGUUAUCCGGAUUUAUUGGGUUUAAAGGGAGCGUAGGCGGAUUAUUAAGUCAGUUGUGAAAGUUUGCGGCUCAACCGUAAAAUUGCAGUUGUUACUGGUAGUCUUGAGUGCAGCAGAGGUAGGCGGAAUUCGUGGUGUAGCGGUGAAAUGCUUAGAUAUCACGAAGAACUCCGAUUGCGAAGGCAGCUUACUGGACUGUAACUGACGCUGAUGCUCGAAAGUGUGGGUAUCAAACAGG
rnacentral:rRNA from 1 species